rnacentral:ncRNA from 2 species
GGAGCAGCUUCUAGAGAGACCGCUUAUUCGCGGCGCCGAAGGAUUCACAAUCUCAGGCAAAAGGACAGAAGAGAACGU